rnacentral:rRNA from 1 species
UACACACCGCCCGUCACACCAUGGGAGUUGAUUGCACCAGAAGCAGGUAGCCUAACCGCUAGGGGGCGGUUACCACGGUGAGAUUCGUGACUGGGGUG